AUGUUGGUGAACAGGGUCUGGCAUGUGGUGUGUGUGCUCUGCUGUGUGUGUGUGAACGCAGAGGAAUAUGAAGUGAACUACGCAGACAACUACGAAAACGAGAUUACACAGGACCAACAGGACGGGGACUCCCCUGUGACUACCUGCCAGGCUACAGACCUCUCUCGCUGGAACAAACUCUUUGUGGCUCUGGAGGACUCCCACCAGAGGGAUAUGAUGCUGAUGGAAGCCCUGGAGCAACGCUGUGGAGCCCCGGGAGUCUGCCAGCAGUGCCUGCCCGCCAUCGAGGCAGUUUGCCGGGGGCAGACAGAGCAGGCGAGCCCCAGGCUCCAUCAAGGCCUAGUGGAGCUGAAGGAGGAGGUAACAGAGCGAGAGGGGAGGAUUAAUUCUUCACUACAGCAGAUCAAACAGGAGGGAGCAGAAAGUUAUGGGAGGAUGAUGGCUGUGUUACAUCAUCUCCUUCAGAACAGCAAAGAGCAGAACCAUAGACUACAUCGAUUGGAGGAGAGUAAGCUGACAGGGGAGGUGACAGAAGGGGCUGGAUCUAUAGGAGCCGGGCAUAGAGAAGCAGAGCCAAUCAGGACAGGGCAUAAAGAGAAUAGGUUGGGUUUGGGGGAGGGGCUUAGUGGGAGAGGUGGACCAAUAGGGACGAAGCCUGGCAGUAUAGGGGCGGGUCUCGGACUGGGUUUGGGCAUGAAGCUGUUCUCGUCAAGCACAAAGAAACAGUUAGUGACAUCAUCGCCAUCAUCGGACCCGGGAAAGAUUGAGCGGCCUCUGGUUGCUAUAGCGAUGGAAAUGCAGAAGGUGCAGACCCAGCUGGACCUAAUAUCCUCUGUAGGGAACUAAGGAUGAAAAAAUACAAGGAGAAAUUAAAGGAAGGAUAUCUGAUGGAUAUUGUCCUCUAUCAGGGACUGAAUCAAAACUAAAAUCUAAACUUAUUGAAAUGUUCCACACUAACAUAUCACCUCUUUAUACAUUAGGAAAGCAAAACAAUCGCCUUGAAAUAUGUUUAGUAUUCUUUUUUAAUUCUGUAUAAUUAAAGGAAAUGCUCUGUGACUCUAAUUGUCUAAGUGAUGAAUAAAGAUUUGUUAAACUUUUUAAUUGGUGGAAAGGGUUCCUCCUGUCUCAAGUUAUACACCCACCAUCUUUACCAGGGAAACUUGUCAUCAUGGACAUUGUGGACAAUAACAGGAGUGUCUCAGAUACUGUUGACAUCUCAGCUAUAAUCAGACACAGUUCUCUUUCUCAUUACUGAGUUUACACACUUUAAAUAAACUGUUUAGGAUUUAUGACGUUUUGCCAGACUUAUAACACAGCGACUGUUCUGCUGCCACAGAACUUCAUUCAUCUGUGUGUGUGUGUGUGUGUGUGUGUGUGUGUGUGUGUGUGUGUGUGUGUGUGUGUGUGUGUGUGUGUGUGUGUGUGUGUGUGUGUGUCGGUGCGUGUUGGCGUGUGUGUGUCGGUGCGUGCUGGCGUGUGUGUGUCGGUGCGUGCUGGCGUGUGUGUAGGUGACAUGAAGAGAGUUUUCCAUAUAAAGUAGCAGCCAGGGGGUGGGUAGGCUAAUAGGAGGAGGGUGUGUUUGGACACUCAGCUUUUCUCUCUCUCCUUCUUCAAGAACUAGUUUCAAAAUGUCACAGGGUUCAAGGUAUGUGAAUCCCACCAUCCUGGUUUACAUGCAUUGUGACCUGACACAAUGAUAGACGAGACAAGAGGAGAGGAGAGAUGACGAGACGAGAGGAGAGGAGAGAUGACGAGAGGAGAGGAGAGAUGACGAGAGGAGAAGAGAUGAGAGGAGAGAUGACGAGAGGAGAGGAGAGAUGACGAGACGAGAGGAAAGGAGAGAUGACGAGACGAGAGUAGAGGAGAGAUGACGAGAGGAGAGGAGAGAUGACGAGAGGAGAAGAGACGAGAGGAGAGAUGACGAGAGGAGAGGAGAGAUGACGAGACGAGAGGAAAGGAGAGAUGACGAGAGGAGAGGAGAGAUGACGAGAGGAGAAGAGACGAGAGGAGAGAUGACGAGAGGAGAGGAGAGAUGACGAGAGGAGAGGAGACGAGAGGAGAGAUGACGAAAGGAGAGGAGACGAGAGGAGAGAUGACGAGAGGAGAGGAGAGAUGACGAGAGGAGACGAGAGGAGAGAUGAGGAGAGGAGAGGAGAAGAGAGAUGACGAGAGGAGAGAUGACGAGACGAGAGGAGAGGAGAGAUGACGAGAGGAGAGAUGACGAGAGGAGAGGAGACGAGAGGAGAGAUGACGAGAGGAGAGGAGACGAGAGGAGAGGAGAGGAGACGAGAGGAGAGGAGAGAUGACGAGAGGAGAGGAGAGAUGACAAGAGGAGAGAUGAUGAGAGGAGAGGAGAGGAGACGAGAGGAGAGGAGAGAUGACGAGAGUAGAGGAGACGAGAGGAGAGAUGACGAGACGAGAGGAGAGUAGAGAUGACGAGAGGAGAGGAGAGAUGACGAGAGGAGAGAUGAUGAGAUGAGAGGAGAGAUGAUGAGAGGAGAGGAGAGAUGACGAGAGGAGAGGAGAGAUGACGAGAGGAGAGGAGACGAGAGGAGAGAUGACGAGACGAGAGGAGAGAUGACGAGAGGAGAGGAGACGAGAGGAGAGAAGAGAUGACGAGAGGAGAGGAGAGAUGACGAGACGAGGGGAGAGGAGAGAUGACGAGAGGAGAGGAGAGAUGACGAGAGGAGAGAUGACGAGAGGAGAGGAGACGAGAGGAGAGAUGACGAGAGGAGAGAUGACGAGAGGAGAGGAGACGGGAGGAGAGGAGACGAGAGGAGAGAUGACGAGAGGAGAGAUGACAAGAGGAGAGGAGACGAGAGGAGAGAUGACGAGAGGAGAGGAGACGAGAGGAGAGAUGACGAGACGAGAGGAGAGGAGAGAUGACGAGAGGAGAGAUGACGAGAGGAGAGGAGACGAGAGGGGAGGUUGUUAUUAGUCUUAAUCACAGCUUCCACUUACAGCUGCUAUCAGAUGGAUAGAUACACUCCCCCUCUUCCUCUCUCCCAUCCUCCUCUCUCCCCCUCACCCUGGCUGUCUCCCCCCCUCACCCUUG
ensembl:lncRNA